rnacentral:rRNA from 1 species
UGGGGAAUAUUGGACAAUGGGCGAAAGCCUGAUCCAGCCAUGCCGCGUGUGUGAAGAAGGCCUUUUGGUUGUAAAGCACUUUAAGCGAGGAGGAGGCUACUUGGAUUAAUACUCUAGGAUAGUGGACGUUACUCGCAGAAUAAGCACCGGCUAACUCUGUGCCAGCAGCCGCGGUAAUACAGAGGGUGCGAGCGUUAAUCGGAUUUACUGGGCGUAAAGCGUGCGUAGGCGGCUUCUUAAGUCGGAUGUGAAAUCCCUGAGCUUAACUUAGGAAUUGCAUUCGAUACUGGGAAGCUAGAGUAUGGGAGAGGAUGGUAGAAUUCCAGGUGUAGCGGUGAAAUGCGUAGAGAUCUGGAGGAAUACCGAUGGCGAAGGCAGCCAUCCGGCCUAAUACUGACGCUGAGGUACGAAAGCAUGGGGAGCAAACAGG